UUCAUUGGGAUGCUGAAGGAG
rnacentral:misc_RNA from 1 species